rnacentral:rRNA from 1 species
CUCGCAAGAGUGAACUAGCUAACUGAAAUCACUAAUUGAUUAGUUUCAAGGUGAUGUGGUAAGGGAAAAUAAUGAUAUUACCUUAUUUAUAGUGUUGUCUAAAUCUGGUGCCAGAAGACUCGGUAAGACCAGAAACGCAAACGUUAGUCAUUAUAUUUAGGCGUAAAGGGUUUGUAGGCUGCUUUUAAAAUUAGGAACUUUUACUAUUGGUUAAUUUUAUUAAUCUAAAAUUAAGAUGAUAGAAACGUGUUAAAAUUAAUAGCUAGAAUCAAAAAGAAGUUAAAAAGUAUAAUACUUAGAGUAGGGCUAAUAUCCGGAAAACCUAGGUGGAAUACUAAAGGUGUAAACAACUAACUAUUAAUGAUUGACGCUGAGAAACGAAGGUGAGGAUAGGAAAUAGGAUUAGAUACCCCGGUACCCCUCUCUGUAAACGAUGAAUGGUAGUUAUUAGUACAAUAUUAUUAGUAGCAAAGCUAACGCGUUAACCAUUCCGCCUUGGGAGUACGACUGCAAAGUUGAAAACAAAAAAAUUAGUCGGUCUCGGAGCAAACGGAAUGAAGCAU